rnacentral:rRNA from 1 species
UACGAAGGGGGCUAGCGUUGUUCGGAAUCAUUGGGCGUAAAGGGCGCGUAGGUGGCCCGGUCAGCGUGCGGUGAAAGCUCGGGGCUCAACCCCGAGUCGGCCGUGCGAACUGCUGGGCUCGAGCACUGUAGAGGCAGGCGGAAUUCCGGGUGUAGCGGUGGAAUGCGUAGAGAUCCGGAAGAACACCGGUGGCGAAGGCGGCCUGCUGGGCAGUGGCUGACACUGAGGCGCGACAGCGUGGGGAGCAAACAGG